rnacentral:tRNA from 1 species
AUUAAGAUAGCUUAAAUUUAAAGCGUAAUAUUGAAGAUAUUAAUAUGGUUAAUUACCUCUUGAUG